rnacentral:tRNA from 1 species
GCUCGCGUAGCCCAAGGCAGAGGCACCAGCCCGAGGCGCUGGACAGUGCAGGUGCGAGUCCUGCCGCGAGCACCA